rnacentral:rRNA from 1 species
UACGAAGGGGGCUAGCGUUGCUCGGAAUCACUGGGCGUAAAGCGCACGUAGGCGGCUUUUUAAGUCAGGGGUGAAAUCCUGGAGCUCAACUCCAGAACUGCCUUUGAUACUGAGAGCUUGAGUCCGGGAGAGGUGAGUGGAACUGCGAGUGUAGAGGUGAAAUUCGUAGAUAUUCGCAAGAACACCAGUGGCGAAGGCGGCUCACUGGCCCGGUACUGACGCUGG